rnacentral:tmRNA from 1 species
GGGGCCGACCGGUUUUGACAGCAUCAGGUGGGGAAUGCAUAAGCAUGCCGUGCGUUGGAUAAUUAGCACGUUAAUCUGAAUAUUCAAACAUUAAUUGGCAACACACAGUAUGCCAUGGCUGCCUGAUCAGCGAUUAGCGUAGCCAAUAGGGCCGCGUUCCGCAAGGAGUCCGCUUCAUGCCGAUGAGCAGGUAGUUCUGUUACCACGCUCCGCCGCCGACUUAUCAAAAUAAAACAGGAUGCUGUUAUCCCAGGCUGUGCAGAUAACAAAAGAUUAUGCAGCUAAGUCAUAUGUAGGUUUGUUCCUUUCCGGGAUAUGGCUGACAACCAAUAAGGAAAUAAGCAUGUAGAAGGCUUUUUCAACCGUUGUUUGGACGCGGGUUCGACUCCCGCCGGCUCCACUU